rnacentral:misc_RNA from 1 species
AAGUCGUAACAAGGUUUCCGUAGGUGAACCUGCGGAAGGAUCAUUAAUACGCUUUUGUUUGUAACAAAACAAAACGUUUUAAACUCCAAAAGAAAUAGUGGAAAUAUAACUUCCGGAUGCGAAUUGUUGGGAACUGAGUUAAUUGGUUCUUUGAAAAAGGGACUUCAAGCAAUUGACACUUCAGAGUAGAGCAGUGAGGUGAAAUUCUCUUUAUUGAGAGUUUGGUUCUGAAAAACAUUUGUAUUCGGUUAUAAUAGUCUGUUCUACAAACUCCAAAAUAUCAAACAAUAAACCCCAUGUACAACAACUUGAACUAAACAUUUUUUUGUUAUCUGCUCGCACUUGUGUGAGAAGAUACUACAAAGAAAAAACCUGAACUUAAGAACAACUCUUAACAAUGGAUAUCUUGGUUCUC